rnacentral:rRNA from 1 species
UGGGUAGGCGGUUGGGCUAGUCUGGUGUGAAAUCUCCCGGCUUAACUGGGAGGGUGCGCCGGAAACUGCCUGGCUAGAGUGUGGGAGAGGAAAGCGGAAUUCCUGGUGUAGCGGUGAAAUGCGUAGAUAUCAGGAGGAACACCUGCGGUGUAGACGGCUUUCUGGACCACUACUGACGCUGAACCACGAAAGCGUGGGGAGCAAACAGGAUUAGAUACCCUGGUAGUCCACGCCCUAAACGAUGCGGACUUGGUGUGCGCCCUUCAUUGGGUGCGUGCCGUAGCUAACGCGUUAAGUCCGCCGCCUGGGGAGUACGGUCGCAAGGCUGAA